CGGUUUGAUGAUCUUAUGGCAGAGGAGGAAGCUGUAUCUUCAAAAUGUGUCAAUUUGGCUAAAGACAAUCAAGUUAUCCAACAGGAGUUAUUAUCUAUGAAAAAGGUACAACAAGAAUGUGAAAAACUUGAGGAGAAUCAAAAGAUGUUGGAAGAAGAAAUAUUAAAUCUCAAGACACAUAUGGAAAACAGUAUCGUAGAACUUAGUGAACUACAAGAUUAUAAAUCAGAGCUAGAUGAAAGGGCAAUGCAGGCAGUAGAAAAAUUAAAAGAAAUCAAUUUACAUUUACAAGCACAAUAUAAAAAACAAUUAGAGCAGUUAAACAAGGAUAAUACGGCUUCACUAAAUAAGAAGGAACUCACACUUAAAGAUGUAGAAUGUAAAUUCUACAAAAUGUAAACUGCUUAUGAAGAGGUUACAACUGAGUUAGAAGAAUAUAAGGAAGCCUUUGCAGCAGCAUUGAAAGCUAACAAUUCCAUGUCAAAAAAAUUAACGAAAUCGAAUAAGAAAAUAGCAAUGAUCAUCACCAAGCUCCUUAGGGAGAAAGAGCAGGUGAAAUAUUUUCUCAGCACUCUUCCUACAAGGCAAGGUCGAGAGUCACCUUGUGUUGAAAAUCUUACUAGUAUAGGACUCAACAGAAAAUAUAUUCCCCAAAUGCCCAUAAGAAUUCCUACUUCAAACCGUCAGACUUCAAAUAACUGCCAGAACUACUUGACUGAGCUGCUGCUGUGUUGGACACUUGCUCCCAUCUACUUUCUUCUCUAG
rnacentral:lncRNA from 1 species